rnacentral:rRNA from 11 species
ACCAGCCUUAUAAUACCCCAAAGGCACCAGAUGCCAUCUGAUCUUGGAAACUAAGCAGGGUCAGGGCAUGUUAGUACUUCAGUGGAGGUCUGCCAAGAAAUACCAACGCUGGAGGCUAGAU